AGUGAACGCUGGCGGCGUGCUUAACACAUGCAAGUCGAACGAGAACGGAUUAUAGCUUGCUAUAAUUGUCAGCUAAGUGGCGCACGGGUGAGUAAUGUAUAGGUAAUAUGCCUCUUACUAAGGGAUAACAAAUGGAAACGUUUGCUAAUACCUUAUACUCCUUAUUAACAGAAGUUAUAAGGGAAAGAUUUAUUGGUAAGAGAUUAGCCUGUAUUGUAUCAGUUAGUUGGUGUGGUAAUGGCUUACCAAGACUAUGAAACAUAACUGGUUUGAGAGGAUGAUAAGUCACACUGGAACUGAGACACGGUCCAGACUCCUACGGGAGGCAGCAGUGGGGAAUAUUGCACAAUGGACGAAAGUCUGAUGCAGCAACGCCGCGUGGAGGAUGACACAUUUCGGUGCGUAAACUCCUUUUAUAUGAGAAGAUAAUGACGGUAUUAUAUGAAUAAGCACCGGCUAACUCCGUGCCAGCCGCCGCGGUAA
rnacentral:rRNA from 1 species